GAGAAAUGGAACGCAAGAACUGGGGAAAAAAUAAGCUGGGAGGUCAGACCUGGGCUGGAGUGCCUACGUGUAGCCAUAGGAGUAUAUUUAACGGAGUGAUAACUCAGACUUUGAAAGAAAAAAAGGGACCAACGCACUGAUCGGCUGUUCCCUAUGACUGCAGUGUGUCAGCACUCAAGCUGGGAAAGCUUGAGGGCACGUGUUUCCUAUCCCUCUGCCUAUGGACCUAAGAGCAGAGACUGAUAGGGAUCGAUAUUCAGAAAGGAGCGCAGUUUGGCAGAGGAUGCCAAAGGAGCCUGCUGAGCGUGGCCACAGAUGAUCCCAGCUGAGCGUGGCCACUCACAAACUGAAGAGAACCUCUGUGCUGUGUCAUCAAUUGGAGCUGCAAUAAAUGAUCCUAUAUCAAGCACUGUGUUUUUCAUUCCUCAAAAUGACUUACAAAGUGAGGUAUUCUGAUGGCAUGACUGCAUCACGUGAAUCGGAGCAACUUUUGGAACAAAAAAAAGGGAGUGUAUCUCUAAACCUGAUGGCUGCAGAAUGGGAGGCUUGCAAAUGAGUCCAACACGCGCCAUUAGACCUGGGAAGUCAGGACAAACCACAGAGAAGCUAUGAUGUGUGCAGACAUGCGUGCAGCAAUUUUACAACAGAUAGAGUCGAUCCACCCCGAAGAUGAUGUAUGAUGUGGUUGUGUUCUCUGCCUUG
ensembl:lncRNA